rnacentral:misc_RNA from 1 species
GAUCAAUUGAGUUUGGUACAUUAGGUAAAGCUGAAGGAAAUUAGUUUGGGGAUCUUGAAUUCAAUACACACCCUUCACUUUGGAAAUACACGAACAUGUGCACCUGCACCUUUUGGCAUGUCUGUUGAACAUAUAUUUAGUGAUAUUUAAUAUUUGAGUUUUCUGCAUGGUUUUAAACAUCAGCUGAUUUGCUUCACAUAGGCCAAUACAAAUUGGAUUGUUUGCCAUAUAUUAUAGGGUUCACAAUUUUGGGAUAGUGAAUUUCAGUUCUCAUUAUAGUAGCAUGUUAUGGCUGAUAUAGACUGAUAAAGACCAAUACAUGAUAGCCCACACGACCUUUAGGCAAAGGAGAUGAAGAAAAAGAAGAGAGAGAGGAUUAGGUAUGCCCAUAUAUGGGGUUGGAUAACUAGGAUUAGGCAUACCUGGGUAUGGACUAUCCUCUUCUGAUUUUGUCUGUACUAUUAUUAUCCUUGUAGUAAACUAUCAACAUGUUUUUCAAGAAUGGCAUUGAAUAUCCCAUAGUUAUCAUUUAUUUGUAAUUACCCAACCCAUCACCUGUUGCAAUCCCUGAUGACUCCAGUAGAAAUGGACCUAAAACAUUUGAUCCAAAAAUUUCAAACUAAAAAUUAAUUACCCUACCACUUCUUUGGGCCUUAAUUAAUGUGGGAUGGGUUGGGUGUGACAAUCUUCCAUCUCAA